rnacentral:rRNA from 1 species
UGGUGGAGUGAUUUGUCUGGUUAAUUCCAUUAACGAACGAGACCCCUGCCUGCUAAAUAGUCAAAUGAGUGAUUUUUCACUGAUUGUGGCUUCUUAGAGGGACGUGCAUUUUAUUAGAUGCAGGAGGAUAGGGGCAAUAACA